UUCGCGCUCACGUUCACGACGAUCCAUUCGCCGUUCCAUUCACGACCGCCGAUUUGAAGGAGGAAAAAAACACGCACACACACAAGGUAUAAAAACGGGCGAAGAAGAUGGCCGCCGCCGCCGUACACAUUUUGUGUGUGUUCUUCCCUCUGGCGGAAUUCAUGUUCCUACCCUUUUCCCUGCUCAAGUCAUCGACCUAUGUAAUGUCUAGCGUAUACCUUCCUUCCUUCUUCUUCUUCUUCUUCUUCUUCUUUUUCUUCUUCGGUUCUUCUUCUUCUCCUUUUUGCGCCGCCCGCCCAUUGAAGUGUGGGACCAAAUUCUCCGUUGCAUUUUUACCUGGUGGUGGAAGAGGAGGCCUCCACCGCGUUAACAGCAACACCUGGAGGCGAGUUCCAUACUUGAAUUUAAACAUCUCUCAGAAGGAGCUGGAUGGCGCCCCACCCACCCACCAACUGGUCAGCUUUUAUACACUUCUAUAACCAAAAUAAGAAAAAUGUUUCAUAUGUUUUUAAUUCCUCCCCGUUUGGGUUAGGUGACGUCUGGCUAAUUUCCGCCCAAUUUUCAUUGCCCAGCCAAACUCCUUUCCAUUUUCCAUACAAUACCCAAGUUAAUAACGUUCUUUUUAUUAUUUUUAUUUCGCCUUGGGUGCGGUAUUUUUUCGGUCGGCAGUCACGGGAAGUGGCAAUAAUCCAGAAGGAAAGGGAGAAUUAUUCCCUUUUAAUAUUUCUUUUUUAUAAUAUCACGAUCAUCAGAAUGUUUUUACAAGGCGCGAUCCAUCAUUAGAGUGACGUAAGGACUUGGGCGAGCUGCUGAACUGUGGUGGUGCGUGAAGAAAAGAUGGGAGCGGCCCCACGUAAUAAUCACGAAUUUUUUUCAAUUCUCCCGGCACCGGUGUGUAAUGUUUGUUUGACCAUCAAAAGUCUCACACACACGUUGAAUGGGAAAAAUGUAAAAAAAAAGAAAAAGAAAAUUUCAUGGUCAAAUGGCCACACUGAAAAAAAA
rnacentral:lncRNA from 1 species